rnacentral:tRNA from 1 species
GGAGGAUUAGGCUAAUUGGUAAGUCAGCGGUCUUGAAAACCGCCGCGCGAAAGCGCUUGGGGGUUCGAGUCCCUCAUCCUCCGCCA